AGUGAACGCUGGCGGUAGGCCUAACACAUGCAAGUCGAACGGCAGCACAGUAAGAGCUUGCUCUUACGGGUGGCGAGUGGCGGACGGGUGAGGAAUACAUCGGAAUCUACUUUUUCGUGGGGGAUAACGUAGGGAAACUUACGCUAAUACCGCAUACGACCUACGGGUGAAAGCAGGGGAUCUUCGGACCUUGCGCGAUUGAAUGAGCCGAUGUCGGAUUAGCUAGUUGGCGGGGUAAAGGCCCGCCAAGGCGACGAUCCGUAGCUGGUCUGAGAGGAUGAUCAGCCACACUGGAACUGAGACACGGUCCAGACUCCUACGGGAGGCAGCAGUGGGGAAUAUUGGACGAUGGGCGCAAGCCUGAUCCAGCCAUACCGCGUGGGUGAAGAAGGCCUUCGGGUUGUAAAGCCCUUUUGUUGGGAAAGAAAAGCAGCAGGUUAAUACCCCGCUGUUCUGACGGUACCCAAAGAAUAAGCACCGGCUAACUUCGUG
rnacentral:rRNA from 1 species